rnacentral:misc_RNA from 1 species
UAAAAAAAUAAAAAUAAAAAAAAACUGCUGGUAAUUUCCAAAUCUGACUGAAGAAGCCACUUAGCUAGAAAUAUCAAUAACUAAACUUCAUAAACCAAACAUCUGAAGCACAACAUGUCAAGAAACUCAAGAUCAAGGGGCAGAUCAAAAGAAUUAAUGUGCAUUAUGGCUAAGAAUAAGAAUUUACAGUUAUAUGGCAAUGAUUUCACUUCUCAUGGUAUUUCUUUAGAAUGGUGUUCCAAAAUUUGACGCCUCCAUUUGAAGGAAACAAAGAUUUCCUCCGACCAGAAAAAAAUGAAGGAAAUAAAGUGGUCCUAUUCCAUUCAUUCCAAUGCAGUAGCCAAAUGCACCCUUAAAGUGUAAAAAAUAAUGAAAUCAAAAUUACAAAAGUUUAAAUUUACAAGGAUUGACUUCAAAAUCAAAUUCCAAUUUCCAUCUUUACAGGAAAAAUAACAUGUUAUUAAAUUCAAGAAAUUAAAAGAUACCCUUGUGACACUUAUAAGUGAAAUCUACAUUGAUGAGAGCGAAAGCAUGAAAAGUGCGCAGGUGCACUGAAUGAUUCCUCCUUCAAUUCCACAUACUAGGAAAUAGGAAUCUAAAAAGGAAAAUUUACAACCUAACUCAAUCUUAUCAAAAUCGUGUAAUCCAAAUCAACUUGACAGUUUUUGCAAUUGAACAAACACACCAGUAGUAUCAAUUAGACACAAAAAACAAGAAAUGACAGACACCCAUACAUCAUAUCUUUACAUAUACAAGGGCUGAAUUGGAGAUUAUCAAAAGAGAAAGACCCCAAUCCAAUUGUUAGAGAUUCCCAUAAGGGAACAGCAAGAGAGAGAGAGAGAUACC